rnacentral:rRNA from 1 species
GAUGAACGCUAGCGGCAGGCCUAAUACAUGCAAGUCGAACGAUACCAGAGAGCUUGCUUUCUGGGAAAGUGGCGCACGGGUGCGUAACGCGUAUGCAACCUACCUUAAUCAGGGGGAUAGCCUCUCGAAAGAGAGAUUAACACCGCAUAAAAUCACACUUCGGCAUCGAAGAAUGAUCAAAUAUUUAUAGGAUUAAGAUGGGCAUGCGUGACAUUAGCUAGUUGGUAAGGUAACGGCUUACCAAGGCUACGAUGUCUAGGGGAUCUGAGAGGAUGACCCCCCACACUGGUACUGAGACACGGCCCAGACUCCUACGGGAGGCAGCAGUAAGGAAUAUGGUCAAUGGAGGCAACUCUGAACCAGCCAUGCCGCGUGCAGGAUGAAGGCCCUAUGGGUCGUAAACUGCUUUUAUACCAGAGAAAACCCUUCCACGUGUGGGAGGUUGAUAGUAUGGUAAGAAUAA